rnacentral:misc_RNA from 1 species
GUUUAAUGGUUGAUAUUGUUUUAGGUUGAGUUUGUAAUGCAGGUGGAGCUAGGCUCAAAACAAAACACACCUUCUCCCACACCACAAGCUCCAGAAACAAGCUUGUGGGAGAAUCUGUUGUUUUGGGGCCUAGAAGUUUUUGCACCUAGGCCCAAUUGCACAGCCAAACUCCCUCUUAGUAGUUUAAAAAUAGCAGAACAGCCUUAGAUCAUGUUUAUCUUGUGGUUUAACAUCCCUACAUCUUCCUCUUCUAUUUAUAGAACAUUUAAUUUUUGCAGUUGCCAUGAGUAUGUGCUUUGCAUUAAAAAUUCAACCAACCCUUAUU